rfam:Camelus ferus unplaced genomic scaffold scaffold1389, whole genome shotgun sequence.
GAGGGUAUGGCUCAGUGGUAGAGCAUGUGCUUAGCAUGCACAAGGUCCUGGGUUCAACCCCCAGUACCUCCA